rnacentral:rRNA from 1 species
CCUACGGGAGGCUGCAGUGAGGAAUAUUGGUCAAUGGGCGGAAGCCUGAACCAGCCAAGUAGCGUGCAGGAUGACGGCCCUACGGGUUGUAAACUGCUUUUCUCCGGUAAUAACGCGCCUUACGUGUAGGGCUUUGCAUGUACCGUAUGAAUAAGGACCGGCUAAUUCCGUGCCAGCAGCCGCGGUAAUACGGACGGUCCGGGCGUUAUCCGGAUUUCUUGGGUUUAAAGGGAGCGUAGGCCGCAUGUCCCGCGUGCUGUGAAAUGUCCGGGCUCACCCCGGGCUUUGCAGCGCGAACUGGCGUGCUUGAGUCCGCGGAAAGCAGGCGGAAUUCGUCGUGUAGCGGUGAAAUGCUUAGAUAUGACGAAGAACCCCGAUUGCGAAGGCAGCUUGCUGCAGCGGAACUGACGCUGAUGCUCGAAAGCGCGGGUAUCGAACAGGAGUAGAUACCCCAGUAGUC